UCCCUGGUGGCUCAGAGGGUAAAGCGUCUGCCUGCAGUGCAGGAGACCUGGGUUCGAUCCCUAGGUUGGGAA
rnacentral:tRNA from 1 species